rnacentral:misc_RNA from 1 species
GUUUUAUUAACAUCACACUAAUAAAAAGGAGGCGGCGACUGUUAUUCCUGAUAUCAGGGCUCUCCUCUUCUUUAUCCGUCACUUCUGCUUUGACUCUGCAUGGAAACUUGACAGAGAUUGUAUCAGCAUCAAGAUGAACAACAACUCCCUAUAUGAACACAACAGUAUUUACAUGUAUGACUAUGCUGCCAAUUCUAACUGGACUUCGUUUAUACUGGAAAUAGGAAAAGCACAUGAGGUGCAUUCCCAACCUAUUGCUGUAUAUGCCAUCAUUCUGACUUGUCUUUCAACAAUUGUGAACUCCAUCCUAUGUUAUGUGACACUUGUGACCCGAGAAUUACGACGCCAACCCCUGUACGCAUGCGUGUUCAACUUUUGCUUUAUGAACUUACUCAUGGGACUGUUCGUGACCUCUUUGGUUGUGUAUCAUGAACUGAGUCCCACGUGGAAGCUGGGACUGUUUGUUUGUAGGGCCUGGGUCAUUCUGGAUGUCUUUCUUCCUUUCACGUCCUUCAUGACACUGAUGCUUAUGUCCAUUGACCGUUUCUUUUACGCCCGUUUCCACUCCUUCUACCAAUCGGCGAAAUUCCGAUUUCAGAGAGAAAUCUACCUUCUUAUUCCUUGGAUCAUUGGAAUGGUGGUGGUGAUUCCACUGUGGGUCGGCGGAUUUCAACAGUCGCCGAUAGAAAUGACAGACAUGUGUGUCUUUGGCUUGGUAGACGAAGCUUCGGUAGCUUCGCCUAUACUGGUCUUCUUUCUACCAGCCUUUUUCCUGAUCUUAGUGAUGAUCAUAACCCAUUUCUUCUCUUUCCGCAAAAUCACACGAGCUAGCGCUAGGUCAAUAAGCAGUCGCUCAGCCGGGACGCCCAGAGACCAAUAUGGGUAUUAUGCGUACGAAAACAACUUUUCAGCUGUGACUCUGUAUCUUAUAAAUGUGACGUUUCUGAUCAUGUGGUCGCCCUAUCACAUGAUGAGCCUCCUUCUGGCUAUGUGUUUGCAUUGCAUGCCGCCUUACUCGCUCAUUGUGGGGUUCACGUACAUGGGGACCACCGCCAGCUCCAUCAUCUCGUUCCUCUGGCUAACUGACUACCAUGUUCGAUAUUCCUUGAAACACGUGAUAUGUGAUCGGUUUAAGAAAGUAAAACAUACUCCUUCGAACAACGUUUCGCUUACGCUGUUGGAAGCAUGAAAAUAAAACUGUGACUUGAACAGUGAACUAUACAAGAGACCUCUUGAGUACUACAACAAAAACAUUUUUGUUUGGUGAUUAUACAAACAUGUUGCACUUCAAAUGUAUCACUUUAAGAAUGCACCUACACAUGUUUAAACACUUAUAUAGCUCAUCGCUUGACGAGGUAAAUAAAUAACUUUUAACAAUG